UCUCUACUCUUAUUCUCAUUUUCUACCACCACUUUUUUUUCACCACUCUUUCUUAUCAUCUAUUAUUGUAUAAUAAAACCCAUCAACCAAAUAACUUAAAAAACACUAAAUAAAACCUUCAUAGAUCGUAUUUCACCUUUUUAUUAAUAUUCAAAAUCUGUAAUCAACAAACCCACCACAUGAAAAAAUCUCAAAAUCGAUCGAGCACGCCGAGAUCUAAUAAUUAUCAUAAAAAGGCCGAAGAUGCGAGUUUAUUCUUGGUCGAUCCACACUAAAAGAAAUUGUUGGAAUAAGAAGAUUUCAUCUUUGUAGCUGAAAUAUAAAACAAUUGUAUGCAGCGCAGAUAUAAAAGAAUAAAUUUUGAGGUAUUGAUGGAAAGAAAAGAGAUAAAAAGCUAUUGGUUUGUAAUUUUGUAUGUAUAAAAUAGAUAGAGAUUUAUAUUUUGAUUUCGAUUCGAUUGUAUCUUUUGUUGUGAUGUAAUUAAGUUCUAUUGUGAUAGUUCAUAUUGGUAGAUAAUAUUAACAGAAAUUAAUUAUGGAAAUGAAUGAAUAUCUAUUUGAUCUUAA